UACGUAGGUGGCAAGCGUUGUCCGGAUUUAUUGGGUUUAAAGGGUGCGUAGGCGGCGAUCUAAGUCAGUGCUGAAAUAUCCCGGCUUAACCGGGAGGGUGGCAUUGAUACUGGGUUGCUUGAGUAAAGUUGAGGUAGGCGGAAUUGACGGUGUAGCGGUGAAAUGCUUAGAUAUCGUCAAGAACACCAAUAGUGAAGACAGCUUACUAAACUUUAACCGACGCUGAGGCACGAAAGUGUGGGGAUCAAACAGG
rnacentral:rRNA from 1 species